rnacentral:tRNA from 1 species
GCCCAAAUAGUAUAGUGGUUAGUACCACGUUGUUGCUGUUGCGACACAGGUCCGAUUCCUGUCGUGGGCA